GGGGCUGUGGCCAAGCCAGGAAUGGCGACUGACUCCAGAGGUUUGCCGACGACGACACUCCAGACUGGUAUACCGAGCGUUCGACUGGCCCUCGUUCGCGAUGACGACCCUCUGGAGUGCCGAGGCGUACCGGGGAUAUCAGUCGAUCGGGGGUUCAAAUCCCUCCGGCCCCA
rnacentral:tRNA from 1 species